GGGAAUCUUUUCACAGCUACAGGGCCUGAAGGGUUCAGUCACAAGGACAACCAUACUAUGGUUUGCUGAUGCAAGGUCUUUUCAAUCUAGCUGAUGGAAGGUAUUCGCGAAACUCUCUCAUGGAUGGCACCUGAACUUCUUGGUGGGAAAAUCAACAUGGUACUGAAAAGGAAUAGUUGUGCGGAUAUUUAUUUUGCUUCUCUGAUUGGUCACUCAAUCACUUACAGCAUUAGCAGCACUGAAAUGUGGAGCUGCAGGUGUAAGUACCUGGAAUCCACUUGGAACUUUGCUAUAAUAUCCAAAAAGACAGGACAGAUCCCUGACUGGAGGUGGAA